CACGACUACAGAAAAAAAAACUCCACAGGGUUCUAAUAUAUUAUUCUUAUAUUUAAAAAAAGGAUUAAACAAUAGCCAGGCCAAGCUGUUAGCUUUAUUUCCACGCUGUCGUGC
rnacentral:sRNA from 1 species